CAAUAGCGUAUAUUAAAGUUGUUGCAGUUAAAAAGCUCGUAGUUGAAUUUUUGCUUGCCGCCGAUGUCGGAACUUCCGUACGUUCGGCGGCGAGCAUCCUUGGGUGGAACCUGUGUGGCAUUAGGUUGUCGUGCAGGGGAUGCUCAUCGUUUACUGUGAAAAAAUUAGAGUGUUCAAAGCAGGCUUACGCCGUUGAAUAUAUUAGCAUGGAAUAAUAAGAUAGGACCUUGGUACUAUUUUGUUGGUUUGCGCACCGAGGUAAUGAUUAACAGGGACAGUUGGGGGUAUUCGUAUUCCAUUGUCAGAGGUGAAAUUCUUGGAUUUCUGGAAGACGAACUACUGCGAAAGCAUUUACCAAGGAUGUUUUCAUUAA
rnacentral:rRNA from 1 species